rnacentral:lncRNA from 1 species
AAUUCCUCUUCCACACAGAGUAAAUUGGAUCCUGGUCUGAAUGCAGGAACGACAACAAUUUUUGCAUGGGGUUGAAUCAAGUCGAACAGUACAGUUUCCAAAAGAUCAUCUACAGAAUUUGUAAAGCAUGUCAAAGCAGACACUGUCCAGAAUUAAUGGAACGGUCCUAAUGGAACCAGUGAAAGACGGACACGUUGACGUAGCAAACAAUAUAAGCGAACGUGAAGUGGCCAUGAUAUUGAUUGCCUGCAGCUUGAGAAGCAAAGAGAAGCUGCAGGAACAGCUGACUCCUUUUGAGGCAUGCUGGUCACUUAGAGAAUUUUGGUCCCAAACACCACCUGUCACCAUGAACAUCCUGCCCAUUGUUUUCGUAACUCUCUUCAUGUCCCUUCUCAUUGAACCAGGUUUCAUGUUGGUUAUACGCUAUCCGGAUCAAUGCAAACAGAGCAAAGGGAAGUGUCGAAACAAAUGUCAGCCAAACGAGAAAGUCAUUGGGAAGUGCAGUGAUUCUGCAUACUGUUGCCUAGUUCGGUAAGCCAAAUCUAUUUUUUUUUUUUACAUAUGUAGAGUUGGAUCCAGAUGUAGUCACCUUUAGAGAGGUAGAUACACAUACACCCAAAUUCAACAGGCUUUGUGUAAUCAUCUCCCUCUGUGAGGAAGAGGUUGACAGAGAUGCCUCCAGCAGGCUGUCUAGCUAAGGACUGUGCAAGGCAGACCCAGGCAGGGUCAGAACCACCAUCCAAGCAGAUCCCGGCCAUUCAGCAUCUUUCUUGAAGUAUGGUGUUAAUAUUAAUAUUAAUAUUAGUAUUAGUAUAUUAGUAUUAAUAUUAAUCAUCACUACUACCACCAUCAUUGUAAUCAUUGUCUUAUAACUAAAGUGCUGGAAGGGACCAUCUGGAUCAUCAAGUCCAGGACUGCUCCGGGAGGCCCAGUGAGGAAUCAAACUCCCAACCAUUGAGCUAUGCAGCAGGGGAGGCCUUCCUCUCGGUCCCACCACCUUCACAGGUGCAUUUGGUGGGGACACGGGAGAGGGCCUUCUCUAUGGCUGCUCCCAGACUCUGGAACUCCUUCCCACAUGAGGCCAACCUGGCCCCAUCUUUGCUCUCCUUCCGCAAGAUAGCAAAGGCCUUCUUGUUCAGGCAGACCUUCUUUUAAUGACUGUCUGCUUUAAGAGAGAGUCCUGAAAAUGGAACUCUUGUGGUUUUGUUCUUUUUGAUGUGUGUUUAGAUCUGUUGCGAUCUACUCGUUUCCAUAUUAUUUUUUUUAUUAAAUUCCUGAA